CGAAGCAUUAAAGCGCGGUAGUCCUGCAUUAGGUCGAAGAGCUUGUCCAGACUAGAGGACAGAACGCAUUCACGUAUCGCAGCUCAUUCGAAAG